CAGCAGCCGCGGUAAUACGUAGGGUGCAAGCGUUAAUCGGAAUUACUGGGCGUAAAGCGUGCGCAGGCGGUUCUAUAAGACAGAUGUGAAAUCCCCGGGCUCAACCUGGGAACUGCAUUUGUGACUGUAGAGCUGGAGUGCGGCAGAGGGGAUGGAAUUCCGCGUGUAGCAGUGAAAUGCGUAGAUAUGCGGAGGAACACCGAUGGCGAAGGCAAUCCCCUGGGCCUGCACUGGCGCUCAUGCACGAAAGCGUGGGGAGCAAACAGGAUUAGAGACCCCCGUAGUCCCUGUCUCUUAUACA
rnacentral:rRNA from 1 species